UUGAAAGGGAAACGAUUGAAGUCAGUCGUACCGGCGGGUAAUCAGCUUUGGGUGUGAUUAUGUGGAGCGUGAGGGAGUAAACACCCUCAUCUUUGCAUAUUCGUGCACUUGGGUGGACUUGCUCGUGUUGUAGGUUUACAUCAAUUUUGAUCCGCAUAAAAUGGAUGGAAGAAUGUAGCUUCGGUCUCGUUAUGAAAGUGUAUAGCCUCCGUAGAUGUGAUGAUUGGGAUUGAGGAUUGCAACGGAAUCCUUCGGGGCUACCUGCCUGAUCUCUGAAAGUUGCUCUGGUGCUGAAAGCUUGCUUAUGGUAUCAAAGUUGACGUUCAACAGGUUAGAACGGGAUAAAUUCGUUAAGGAUGUUGACGUA
rnacentral:rRNA from 1 species